GGCAGCGCCUCGUGGGGCUGGGCGGUCACCGGCGCCUGCCGUGAGCUGCGCGAAUCCGGCCGGGACGAGGUGUUGUUCGACACCACCGAGCUGCUGC
rnacentral:tRNA from 1 species